rnacentral:rRNA from 1 species
UGCGAGUUGAUGGAAUACCUAAAUUUUCCAUGGCAAACUGCUCAGUAACACAUGAUCAACUUACCCUAUAGAGAAAAAUAACCUCGGGAAACUGAGGAUAAUGUUUCAUAGUUGAAAAGGCUUGGAAAAGUUUUUCAAUCAAAAGGAUAAAAAAAAUGGUUUUUAUCCGCUAUAGGAUAGGAUCGUGCUCGAUUAUGGUUGUUGGUGAGGUAAUGGCUCACCAAGCCGAUAAUCGAUAGGGGCCGUGAGAGCGGGAGCCCCGAGAUGGGUACUGAGACAACGACCCAGGCCUUACGAGGCGCAGCAGGCGCGGAACCUCCGCAAUACACGAAAGUGUGACGGGGUUACCCAAAGUGUUCAGUUUUGAACUGUGGUAGGUGAGUAAUGUCCCCUACUAGAAAGGAGAGGGCAAGGCUGGUGCCAGCCGCCGCGGUAAAACCAGCUCUUCAAGUGGUCGGGAUAAUUAUUGGGCUUAAAGUGUCCGUAGCCGGUUUAGUAAGUUCCUGGUAAAAUCGGGUAGCUUAACUAUCUGUAUGCUAGGAAUACUGCUAAACUAGAGGGCGGGAGAGGUCUGAGGUACUACAGGGGUAGGGGGUGAAAUCUUAUAAUCCUUGUAGGACCACCAGUGGCGAAGGCGUCAGACUGGAACGUGCCUGACGGUGAGGGACGAAAGCCAGGGGAGCGAACCGGAUUAGAUACCCGGGUAGUCCUGGCCGUAAACGAUGCAUACUAGGUGAUGGCAUGGCCAUGAGCCGUGUCAGUG